AUUUCUUCGGAUUGAAGCAAUUGUGACUGAGCGGCGGACGGGUGAGUAACGCGUGGGUAACCUGCCUCAUACAGGGGGGAUAACAGUUGGAAACGGCUGCUAAUACCGCAUAAGCGCACAGUACCGCAUGGUACCGUGUGAAAAACUCCGGUGGUAUGAGAUGGACCCGCGUCUGAUUAGCUAGUUGGUGGGGUAACGGCCUACCAAGGCGACGAUCAGUAGCCGACCUGAGAGGGUGACCGGCCACAUUGGGACUGAGACACGGCCCAAACUCCUACGGGAGGCAGCAGUGGGGAAUAUUGCACAAUGGGGGAAACCCUGAUGCAGCGACGCCGCGUGAGCGAUGAAGUAUUUCGGUAUGUAAAGCUCUAUCAGCAGGGAAGAAAAUGACGGUACCUGACUAAGAAGCCCCGGCUAACUACGUGCCAGCAGCCGCGGUAAUACGUAGGGGGCAAGCGUUAUCCGGAUUUACUGGGUGUAAAGGGAGCGUAGACGGCAUGGCAAGCCAGAUGUGAAAGCCCGGGGCUCAACCCCGGGACUGCAUUUGGAACUGUCAGGCUAGAGUGUCGGAGAGGAAAGCGGAAUUCCUAGUGUAGCGGUGAAAUGCGUAGAUAUUAGGAGGAACACCAGUGGCGAAGGCGGCUUUCUGGACGAUGACUGA
rnacentral:rRNA from 1 species